GAAAGACAAUCGCGUGCCUUGACGGGUAUGAGGAAAGUCCGGGCUCCAUAGGGCAGUGUGCUGGAUAACGUCCAGCGGGGGCGACCUUAGGGAAAGUGCAUAGAAAAGGAAACUACCUCAGUUUUUCUGAGGCAAAGGUGGAAAGGUGCGGUAAGAGCGUACCAGCGGUCAGGUGACUGGCCGGCUUAGCAAACCCCACACGGAGCAAGACCGAAUAGGGAAGGGAUGAAGUGGCCCGCAGACCUUCCGGGUGUGUCGCGUUAGAAUUGGCAGGUAACUGUCAAUCCAGAUAAAUGAUUGUCGCUGUGCAAGCAGUACAGAACUCGGCUUAUUGAU
rnacentral:RNase_P_RNA from 1 species